rnacentral:pre_miRNA from 1 species
CAGUCGCUGGCCAUGUCACAAGAGCGGAAUUGACUUUCUUGUGCGUGUGACAGCGGCUAUU